UACGAGAGGCCCAAACGUUAUUCGGAAUUACUGGGCUUAAAGAGUUCGUAGGCGGCGCAGAAAGUAGGGUGUGAAAGCCCUCGGCUCAACCGAGGAAUUGCGCUCUAAACUACUGUGCUUGAGGGACCUAGAGGUGAGCGGAACUGAUGGUGGAGCGGUGAAAUGCGUUGAUAUAUGGAAGAACACCAAUAACGGCGAAGGCAGUUAACUAUUCUGUUACUGACGUUGAGGCACGAAAGCGUGGGGAGCAAAACGG
rnacentral:rRNA from 1 species